rnacentral:rRNA from 1 species
AUUGAACGCUGGCGGCAGGCCUAACACAUGCAAGUCGAGCGGAUGAAGGGAGCUUGCUCCUGGAUUCAGCGGCGGACGGGUGAGUAAUGCCUAGGAAUCUGCCUGGUAGUGGGGGAUAACGUCCGGAAACGGGCGCUAAUACCGCAUACGUCCUGAGGGAGAAAGUGGGGGAUCUUCGGACCUCACGCUAUCAGAUGAGCCUAGGUCGGAUUAGCUAGUUGGUGGGGUAAAGGCCUACCAAGGCGACGAUCCGUAACUGGUCUGAGAGGAUGAUCAGUCACACUGGAACUGAGACACGGUCCAGACUCCUACGGGGGGCAGCAGUGGGGAAUAUUGGACAAUGGGCGAAAGCCUGAUCCAGCCAUGCCGCGUGUGUGAAGAAGGUCUUCGGAUUGUAAAGGACUUUAAGUUGGGAGGAAGGGCAGUAAGUUAAUACCUUGCUGUUUUGACGUUACCAACAGAAUAAGCACCGGCUAACUUCGUG